GGUCCGCCGGGCGGGGGGCGGGGUGCAGAGAAACGCGCGGGUGAGAGAAUUCCGCGGCCUACCCGCCGCCCCCUGCGCCCAGAUACGCCGCUCGUAGAUUUCCCCUGGGCGGACAGGUGUCAGCAUGUGCAUUUCGGUGCCAACCUGCGUGUGGCUGCCUGGUGAAAUUCAAGUCUUGUGAAAUUCAAACGUGAAACUUGUGAAAUCCAGACUUUUCGUUUAUUAAUGGCCGCGAGUGAGCCGUAAUCAAGGGGCAGCCUCCAAAGGAAACGCGAUUGGCUCGCUUGCAGGAACCCAGCCACUCGGGUCGGUGGUCCUCUGGGCCUUGAAUCCCUGAAUGGCUCUGGUGGACAGUGGCAGUCUGAUGGUGAACCUAGGCUUGGACACCCUGACCCCUUCCUCCCCUCUGAGCCCUUAUCUGACAUCUAGACUGUGCUGCACAUCACUGCUGCCACCAGGCACAGGUGACGACUGGGCACCUGAAACCUGGGGAGUCUGAACUGAGAUGUGCUGGAAUGGAAAUACCAAGUACUGUGGAUUUCCAAGGCUUAGUACAA